CGAUGAUACGCGAGGAACCUUACCUGGGCUCGAACGUAAGAUGACUGUAGGUGAAAGCUUACAUCUCUUCGGAGCAUUUUACGAGGUGCUGCAUGGUUGUCGUCAGCUCGUGCCGUGAGGUGUCGGGUUAAGUCCCAUAACGAGCGCAACCCCUACCUUUAGUUGCCAUCAGGUUAAGCUGGGGACUCUAAAGGAACUGCCUACGCAAGUAGUGAGGAAGGCGGGGAUGACGUCAAAUCAGCACGGCCCUUACGUCCAGGGCUACACACGUGCUACAAUGGCCGAUACAGAGGGCAGCUACCUGGUGACAGGAUGCAAAUCUCCAAAGUCGGUCUCAGUUCGGAUCGGAGUCUGCAACCCGACUCCGUGAAGUUGGAUCCGCUAGUAAUCGCGCAUCAGCCAUGGCGCGGUGAAUACGUUCCCGGGCCUU
rnacentral:rRNA from 1 species